AUUUCUGAUUUUAAGAAAAAUGGUCCUAAAGGAAUCUGAUUGAUGCAAGCCUCACCUGUCUCCUCUUUCAGAAGGUAAGUCGGCCGAUUAAAGUGAUCCUGGGGGAGGGCGCGACUUUCUUUUGUUCCUUCGCAGAGAACAAACGUACAAUGGUUCAAGGCUUUAAGCCAGGGUACCCCUUAUAGCCUUAAUCAUUGCUUGUCUUCGGCUGUCUGUUGCUUAGCAAACAGAAUCAACACAGGAGCUCUUUAAAACCUGUUUAAGCACCAACCACAUCGAAAAGUAGGCUGCCGACUUGGCGUUUAUUUCUUUGUGGAACAAAUGCAGUGAAACUUCAACUCCCUCGGCACGGCCACGUAAAUUAAAAUACUGACGAAUUAAACUGACAUCACUGAUCAGGCGCUGCCUUGCUUAAAGAAGAAAUGACAUCUUCAGCACCCCGGUCUAGCUACGGAAAAGAGGUAUUCAAAAAACGGUGGUUUGACACCGAAGACUGGGAGCUUCUUCAGAGACCCUUGGACCCGUACGAGUUUGAGAGGAUUCGGAGGGUUGCCAGAUCGUCGUGGGAAGCUGACACCCGAAAACGGCUAGAGAGUUUUACUACCUAUAGGGGACAGCAUUGCACCAAAACACUGGACGAGCCAACGCAGUGCAGGGUCAGGCCGAGCUCUCCAACUCGCAUGGAGAAGCCCCAUCCGUCGGAAGUUUUUUUAGUGACCAAGCUACAUACUGUUUCGGGAUACUUUAAUUCUGUGGACCACCAUGCUGUUGGGAAUGCCAGAGGAGGAAGUAAUAGUUAUACCGAACCAAGUACCAGCUUCAGAAGCCCUCUAAAAAAACAGCGAGACGGAAACGGAGAGGUACUUGAGAUGGUGUUCUGCAGCUCACAGCUGGCUCAGGCAGCUAGGGCCUGGAUGAAUCUUGCUCCAGAAGCUGAGAGCAAAGCUGUCCAGGAUUUGGCUGUGAGCAUGUUUCAGGAGCGUGGGAGCUCACUAAAAGAAGGCUCUCCUGCACACAGCUACAUCAGCCAGGCCAUGUCCAAACACAUCAGACCAGAGUGCAUUGUGCCAAUGAACCAGUGGCUCAGGAGGGCAGGGAAAGAAGGUACAUCGAAAAAGACUGGACAGGACCGAACUUUCCAUUUCAAGUGACUGCAUGUACUGUCCGUAAAAGCAUAAAUGUUUCCAGUUCAAGUUCCUCUGCUCAACUGAUUACGAGAAUUGUAAUAUUCAAACUUUUAAAAAAGGAAUAAAAAGUAAAUCAAUCUGUUUGCAGGUGAACAGGAAAGCUGUGGAACAACCAUAUUAUCUCUAUGGUUUCAAAGGAUACAUUUUGAUGUAGUUGGGGGGAUUUUUUCAGUUGUCA
rnacentral:lncRNA from 1 species